AACACCUGUUCCCAUUCCGAACACAGAAGUUAAGCCCUCCAGCGCCGAUGGUACUGCACUGGAAACGGUGCGGGAGAGUAGGUCGCUGCCGGAA
rnacentral:rRNA from 1 species